AGGCUCCUACACUGACUCAGAUUUCACCAAACUCUGUGGUCAAACCUGAGAAGUCCUUCAGUUCAGAUGUUCCACACCCAGCCCAACAUGCAUCUCUGUAGACUUCAGUUUAUAUAAAACUGGGACAUCAAUAAAGAAGCAAACUGCAGAGUCUUCAACAACAUUUACUCUGACUGUAGAAGCUUCACAUCAGGGCGAGUACACCUGUGAUUACACAUACAGGGAAACAUCCUCCACUUCAUCCAGGAGCAGCUCCAUUAACAUUACUGUGGUAAACCUGCUGGAGCCCAAUAUCUCCUUCAGUGCUGUCGGUGGUUCAUUUCACUGGGGGUCUGAUGGACCAGAUGUGACAAGGGGCUACAGCUUCUCAAUCAUCUGCUUCACUAAACCUCAGUAUCCAGGAGGUUCCUUCCACUUGGAGUUUAGUGGAUCCAAUAUCACUAGAACUCAAUCAGCUGUUAACCACUCAGCCAUCUUCCUGUUUCCUGAGGCAGAUUUUGUCCAUCAUGGAAACUACAGCUGUACCUAUGAGAUUAAUGUGUCUUCACGUACUUUUUCACUGUCAAUGAGGUCCUGGUCAUCACUGUAAAAGCAUCUCUAGCUCCCUACAUUGGUGUUGGAGUGACAGCAGGACUGCUUCUCUUCCUAGUUCCACUCAUCAUUUACUUUGUAAAAAGGCAACAAACAAGAAAUAAUCAGCUGAAUAAGACAAAUGAUAUGCAGUUAAAUCAAGUUGGAGGUGCCAACAACACUUAUGAGAGUCCCCAAGGAAAGCCUGAGACAGAUGAAAUUGAAGACAUUUAUCAAAAUGCAGAAACCAUUUUCCAGCAGGAGGAGGAUUCCAAACACUCGGAUGAUGAUUACAUGAAUGUUUAUCCCAAUGAACAAAGAAGUGAUGUGGGCAAUGACUAUGUGGAUACGGACAUUUAUGCCAAUUGUGUAGGUUAAAGUGCAGUAUCCACAGUCCAGUAACAAGUUAUUGUUAAAUUAGAUCAUUACUUUCCAUAGUUAAGAUAUUAUCAUUGUGAAUGAUAGAUUUAAAUGACAUUUAAAUCAGUUUAUUCUUUACUCAGGACUCAUGUAUUCAUGUAAAACAUUUGGUUUUAUUUUCUUAAUUUUUACACAUAUUUUAUUAUUAUUUACCAUUGCAGUGGAUGCAGAACACAUACAUUUUUAUACAAUUCUAAUCUAAUAUAGUAUAGAAAUAUUUUUACUUGCAGGAUUUUCUUACUUAAUUUGACUUUUAAUGAUUGUAAAUUACAUUUAUUUAAUCCAUGUUCUGUUAUCUGCAAAAUGUAUUUCAGUCUUAUUAAAAGCAAUUUGGCUUUGGAGUGCUAGCACUUGAAAUUGUGCUUUCUCCUCAUCCUCAUGUUCUUUUCACAGCUAUGAUACAAAAAAUAUUUUUGUUGAUAUUUGCAACAUAGGUUAAAUUAUAGCACUGAUAUACAUGCAAAAUAUUUAAACUUUUUUUAUUUUGUAAUGUAGAAUUAUUAAAUUGCUUCUAUAAUUAAGGCUCUUAUCAAUUUAGUGAUUCUGAAAAACUAUAAAAAUGUAGCUGCAAUGUCAGAGAUUGCCCCUGUGGCAACCCUUUGUAUUGUCAUUAGUCUCUGUAGCAGCCCUUCAGCAUAGAACAAAGAAGGCAGGGAUUUUCUUGACAGGUGCCUUAGAUUUAUUUUUUCUCAAAUGUAAUAAAACUUAUCACUGAAGUA